rnacentral:rRNA from 1 species
AACGUAGGUUCCGAGCGUUAUCCGGAUUUACUGGGCGUAAAGCGCGUUCAGGCGGUUUGGCAAGUCGGGCAUGAAAUCUCUCGGCUCAACCGGGAGAGGUUGUCCGAUACUGCUGGACUUGAGGGCAGUAGAGGGUGGUGGAAUUCCGGGUGUAGUGGUGAAAUGCGUAGAUAUCCGGAGGAACACCAGUGGCCAAAGCGGCCACCUGGACUGCACCUGACGCUGACACGCGAAAGCUAGGGGAGCGAACGGG